GUUCUGUUGAGUCUUGUCAAUGGAAUCUAGCGGCGGAGCUCUCCUGACAUUCCAGUGGAGGAUUCCCAGGUGUCACCACGAAACUCAAGUAGUAACACUACGUCAAAACAGUCCCCGCGACCUCCUGAUCAACAUCCACUUUAAAUGUUUAAGUUCAACACAAGCCAUAUGUGUAUUCUCCAUAAAAGAAAAUAACAUGUAUGAUUCCAUAUCCAUAAGUAAUAAAACACGAUAAAAGCAUACAGCUAUAACGUACUUCAUUGUGAAACGGAAGCAAAACCUAGAGACACUAUUCGUUCUGUGGAUGGAGCGCCAUAUCCGCCCACCCAGUUUGCAUAAGUAAGCCGCGGACUUCCUUCACACUUGCACACCCGAGGCUGUAGGUGGCGCUGCGAAAUAAUCUGAUGCGACGUCCAGAGAGUUUCUCCGUUUGAAUGACGAGGCGGUUCGGCAAAAGGGGGACCUACUGCAGCUAUGUUUGUUUAGAUAUCUGUAUUAUGUAUUUGCCUUCUCCUCCACUGACUCAUGUAGAGUGAUGCUAUCGUCCGAGCCGGUCCGCCUGGGUCGGAGGCGCAGAUUAUCCCCGUGUCCAAACCCCCUUUUCCUGCGCUGGUUGACCGAGCUGAGGGACCAAGCCCGAGAAAGGGGGCUGAAAACGCAGCACGUCUACCAGAAGGCCAUCUGCUCUUUGAAGAAGUACCCUCUUCCUCUAAGAAACGGCAGAGAGGCCAAGAUCCUGCAGAACUUUGGCGACGGGAUUUGCAAACUCCUGGAUGAUCGGCUACAGAAGCACUACAAGGAGCACGGUGCUGAUGCCCCUAUCCACUCCCAGUCCAGGCGUGGUACUCCGCGGCGCAGGCAUAGUUGCAACAUGGCUUCUUCCGCAAUUCCCUCUGAAACCUCCAGAAAGUCCACAGGGAAGAAGGGCUGCAGGGCCCCAAAGCGACUCAUGGGUGAUGGAGGGAUCGAGAAAGGAGGCAGGAAGAGGAGAGAGUACGUACCACAGAAACGCUCCGGCGGCUACGCUGUCCUCCUCGCCCUCUACAGGCACUGUCAGAUCCCUGGAAGCAAAGGCUAUCUGUCCAAACUGGAACUGCAGAGAGAAGCUCAGACGCUGUGUGACGCGUCCUUCACUGCGCCCAGCUUGGGCAGUAAGUACACGGCCUGGUCAUCGGUGAGCACACUCUUACAGAGGGACCUUCUGCUCAAGACUCAUAAUCCAGCCAGGUACUCGCUGACAGAGGUAGGCAUGGCUUUGGCACAGCGACUGGAGUCCAGCGAGAAGGAGGAGGAGGAGCAGCAGACAUCUGGAGAUCAGGAAGACGCGUCCCUGGGCCCAGCAGCCACUAUAGACUUGACAGAGGAUGAGCAGGAAGAGAAGGAUGCCUGUACCACACACAGACCGGAACCUCUUGUAACUGUGCCCCAGAAGCAAAGCGUGGAGGUUGGGAUGAGUAUCUCAGGAAAACCCCAGGCUGCAGGCCUUGACAUGAGAGCGGCUGACAUCCUUCUGCCAGGCAGCUAUGACAUCGUACUAUGUGUGGACUUCAUUGAGACAACAGGAGGCUGUGCUGCACGUAAACAGGAGCUGGUCCGGGAACUUCAGAGGAACGGUGUCACCUUCGACAUCAGGAAGCUGAACGUGGGGGACUUCCUGUGGGUGGCCAAAGAGAAAGUAACCCCUGUACCAGGUCACCUGCGCCCACCCCCUGCCAGAGAGCUGGUCCUCGAUUACGUGAUUGAGCGGAAGCGGAUCGACGACCUGUGUGGCAGCAUCAUCGACGGGCGUUUUAGGGAGCAGAAGUUCCGGCUUAAGAGGUGCGGCCUGCGGCGCCCUGUAUACCUGGUGGAGGAGUGCGGAUCUGCGGGCACUCACCUGAGCUUACCGGAGAGCACGCUGCAGCAGGCCGUCGUAAACACACAGGUGGUGGACGGCUUCUUCGUGAAGAGGGUGCAGGACGUGAGGGAAUCGGCCGUUUACCUCACCAUCAUGACGAGGUACCUGCAGAAGCUCUACCGAAACAAGACUCUAGUCUGCCGGUCGAAGGAAGAGGAAGAGGGGGCAAGUGAGCGGGUGUGUUUGGGGAAGGAGAGAGGCCUGGAGGACCCAUCAUGCUCUUUGCUUUCCUUUGCCGAGUUCAAUGAAGGAGCUGUUAAAAAUAAGUGCCAGACAGUGAGGGAGGUGUUUGCCCGGCAGCUAAUGCAGAUCAGCGGGGUGUCUGGGGACAAGGCUGCAGCCAUCCUGGAGCACUAUGGCACUGUGAGCAGGUAUAUUGGAGACUCUGCACAAAAUAUGGGUGCUUCUAGUGCUUUUUCAAGCUGGUUACCGUCAACACGGACUCUCCAGAGAUUGUGUUCCAGCGUGCAUUAAUCUGUCGGAGAAGCUGCUCUCAGCUGGAGAAACUCUUUGAGCAAGAUGUCUGUCGCUCAUAAAGUCACAUGGACCAAUCUGCUUCAAGCCUAUGAACAGUGUUCCAGUGAUGCAGAUAGAGAGAAGCUCCUCUCCUCCGUAAGAUACGGAAAGUUAAAAAGGAACAUUGGACCUGCCCUGAGCCGCACCAUCUACCAGCUGUACUCCGCCCCAGGA